ACGAACGCUGGCGGCACGCUUAACACAUGCAAGUCGAACGAGAGAAGAGAAGCUUGCUUUUCUGAUCUAGUGGCGGACGGGUGAGUAACACGUGAGCAAUCUGCCUUUCAGAGGGGGAUACCGAUUGGAAACGAUCGUUAAUACCGCAUAACAUAAUUGAACCGCAUGAUUUGAUUAUCAAAGAUUUAUCGCUGAAAGAUGAGCUCGCGUCUGAUUAGCUAGUUGGUAAGGUAACGGCUUACCAAGGCGACGAUCAGUAGCCGGACUGAGAGGUUGAUCGGCCACAUUGGGACUGAGACACGGCCCAGACUCCUACGGGAGGCAGCAGUGGGGAAUAUUGCACAAUGGAGGAAACUCUGAUGCAGCGAUGCCGCGUGAGGGAAGAAGGUUUUAGGAUUGUAAACCUCUGUCUUCAGGGACGAAAAAUGACGGUACCUGAGGAGGAAGCUCCGGCUAACUACGUGCCAGCAGCCGCGGUAAUACGUAGGGAGCGAGCGUUGUCCGGAAUUACUGGGUGUAAAGGGAGCGUAGGCGGGAUCGCAAGUCAGAUGUGAAAACUAUGGGCUUAACCCAUAAACUGCAUUUGAAACUGUGGUUCUUGAGUGAAGUAGAGGUAAGCGGAAUUCCUAGUGUAGCGGUGAAAUGCGUAGAUAUUAGGAGGAACAUCAGUGGCGAAGGCGGCUUACUGGGCUUUAACUGACGCUGAGGCUCGAAAGCGUGGGGAGCAAACAGGAUUAGAUACCCUGGUAGUCCACGCCGUAAACGAUGAUUACUAGGUGUGGGGGGACUGACCCCUUCCGUGCCGCAGCAAACGCAAUAAGUAAUCCACCUGGGGAGUACGACCGCAAGGUUGAAACUCAAAGGAAUUGACGGGGGCCCGCACAAGCAGUGGAGUAUGUGGUUUAAUUCGAAGCAACGCGAAGAACCUUACCAAGUCUUGACAUCCCUCUGACCGACUCUUAACCGAGUCUUUCCUUCGGGACAGAGGAGACAGGUGGUGCAUGGUUGUCGUCAGCUCGUGUCGUGAGAUGUUGGGUUAAGUCCCGCAACGAGCGCAACCCUUACUGUUAGUUGCUACGCAAGAGCACUCUAGCAGGACUGCCGUUGACAAAACGGAGGAAGGUGGGGAUGACGUCAAAUCAUCAUGCCCCUUAUGACCUGGGCCUCACACGUACUACAAUGGCUGUCAACAGAGGGAAGCAAAGCCGCGAGGUGGAGCAAACCCCUAAAAGCAGUCUUAGUUCGGAUUGUAGGCUGCAACCCGCCUACAUGAAGUCGGAAUUGCUAGUAAUCGCAGAUCAGCAUGCUGCGGUGAAUACGUUCCCGGGCCUUGUACACACCGCCCGUCACGCCAUGGGAGUCGGUAACACCCGAAGCCUGUAGUCUAACCGCAAGGAGGACGCAGUCGAAGGUGGGAUUGAUGACUGGGGUG
rnacentral:rRNA from 1 species